AACGAACGCUGGCGGCAGGCUUAACACAUGCAAGUCGAGCGCCUCGCAAGAGGAGCGGCAGACGGGUGAGUAACACGUGGGAACAUACCCUUUACUACGGAACAACUCCGGGAAACUGGAGCUAAUACCGUAUGUGCCCUUUGGGGGAAAGAUUUAUCGGUAAAGGAUUGGCCCGCGUUGGAUCAGCUAGUUGGUGGGGAAAGGCCUACCAAGGCGACGAUCCAUAGCUGGUCUGAGAGGAUGAUCAGCCACAUUGGGACUGAGACACGGCCCAAACUCCUACGGGAGGCAGCAGUGGGGAAUAUUGGACAAUGGGCGCAAGCCUGAUCCAGCCAUGCCGCGUGAGUGAUGAAGGCCUUAGGGUUGUAAAGCUCUUUCACCGAUGAAGAUAAUGACGGUGGUCGGAGAAGAAGCCCCGGCUAACUUCGUGCCAGCCGCCGCGGUAA
rnacentral:rRNA from 1 species